UGAUGAACUGCCAAAGAACCUUCUCUCAUCUUUCCCUCUCGUUCCCUCGCUUCCCCCUGACCGUACACACCGAAUGAGCUCCAGGGUGCAGGGUCCAGAUUCUGCUCCCUGUGGGGAGGCCAGUGCAGUAAGAGAGGGAUGAAAGCAAACGCAUGGGAAAAAACCCGGCGAUCGCAGAUUCUGUCCAUCGUGAGGCCGUCAGCAGGGUCAGAGCGGCAGGGCAGGGUGUGAGGUCAGCGUGCUGAGGUCCAUCAGCCUCCUCCAUCGGAAAGAGAGCGAGAGAGAGUGAGAGGAGACAUUAAUGCAGGAUCUUCUGCUGUGACUUGGCGCACCCCACUGGACAGCUGGAGACUCUGGGAGCAAAGAGGCUGCCAAAGCCUGUCUGAGAGAGGGAGAGAGAGAAUGGUGGGCUUGUGUUACCUGCAGCUGGUCACUACCAUCAUGAUCUUGUGUGCAUGAGUGCGUUUGUGUGUGUUUUCAGGUGGGAGCUUCAUUCGACAGUGGAAGUGUGAGGUUUCUCAUUCUUCAUGCACUCGAGUGCUGAUUCUCCUUCACCACACAGACACACAGGUGACUUUCUGCUUUAAAAUAAUCUCUCCUACUGGCUAUGAAUUGUUCUCUCUGUUCCUUGCUUGCAGAAAAAAAAUCAUAAACAAUGUGAACUAGAGAUUAUGACUUAUUUUCUGUGAGCAAGGAACAUUAAUAACAAUAAUGGAUUCGCCAGCUAUAGCAGUGCAUGUGA